AUCACCAGAUCAAGAGACAUGAGUAAGGCCGUGCUGACAAGCAUUGUUCUGAAACGUAAUGUGACCAUGUUGGACAUAGCAAGCACCCGUAUGCUUGGCCAAUAUGGUUUCCUUGCCAGGGUGUUUACCACAUUUGAAGAUUUAGGCAUAUCGGU